rnacentral:rRNA from 1 species
GGAAUCUUGGGCAAUGGGCGAAAGCCUGACCCAGCAAUACCGCGUGAGGGAUGAAGGCCUUCGGGUCGUAAACCUCUGUCAGCAGGAACGAUGGGUCUCCGUGCUAAUACCACGGAGACUUGACGGUACCUGCAAAGGAAGCUCCGGCUAACUUCGUGCAAGCAGCCGCGGUAAUACGAAGGGAGCUAGCGUUGUUCGGAAUCACUGGGCGUAAAGCGCACGUAGGCGGAUUUGUUAGUCAGGGGUGAAAUCCCGGGGCUCAACCUCGGAACUGCCUUUGAUACUGCAAGUCUCGAGUCCGAGAGAGGUGGGUGGAAUUCCUAGUGUAGAGGUGAAAUUCGUAGAUAUUAGGAAGAACACCGGUGGCGAAGGCGGCCCACUGGCUCGGUACUGACGCUGAGGUGCGAAAGCGUGGGGAGCAAA